AUGGCGCCCCCAAUCCUCGCCAUAGCCUACCACGAUGACAGUGGGGUCAACGGCGUUGCGAUCUUGGAUCUUUCUGGUAAUGUGGUGAAGCAGAUACCAAGCACCGAGUAUGAAAUUGAUCUGGUGAAUGAGUUGCCGGGCGAUGCGAUAGGCCAGAUCUCAAGCAAGGGCGAUAAUAUCUGUGUUGUACAGACGCGGCUAUACCUCGUCUGCUUCAAUUGGAUUUCCCACUCUUGGGCUUUCUGGGUGUUGAACCCGGCCACUGGAGCUACCAUCACUUUGUCAAUUGAUUUCUCAGAGGAAUUGGUGCAUGAGAUUGAGGUGGAGGGAAUAGACAAAUGGCGCUGCCAAGUCCAGUCGUGUGCAUUUGGGCAGGUCUCCUCUACCAGAGAAUACAAGGCACUCCGCGUCUCUACAAUUGGUGACUGA
rnacentral:rRNA from 1 species